GGGAGGGGUUGUCAGCCAGCUGCAAGUCACCACCCCCUCCUCUCCAUGGUUCUUCCCUUCAGCAUUUAGCAUGCCUAAGUCUCUCCAUUCUAAUGCCACGGAAGAACUUUCUGAUCAGUCUGCCUUCUGCAGGCAGCUGGAGGUGGACAGCUGCAGGUCACCACUUCCCAACACUGACCUGACACUGACUUGCAGAAUGGAAGAAGAGCCGACAUCCUCGCAUGUAUUUGUUUCCAGGACAGCCGCUCAAAGGUGGGACCACUGCCAGGCCUAUCAGUUCAACCCCUAAAUUGAAGAAGGAAGUUUUCUCCAGCUUGAUGGCACUGGCCUUGGAGCUGAGGAUGCAGCAGUAAAUUUAACAGACAGAAGUCAAGGUGAAGCUCCCAUCCUGGGGGCCAGCUGCAUCUACCAUCAUUGGAGUCUGCAACCUAACUCGUGUUUUUGACAAUCAGCCUCAAAAUCAUGGUUAUACAUAAGUGUCAGGCACUGUGCUCGGCACUGGAGGUGCAAAGGUAAACAGAAUAUUGUUCCUGCCUUGAAAGCCCAUAGCCCCAUUGGCUUAAACAACCUGAUUAACAUGCCUAGCUUGAAUCUCUCAAUCUCUCUCUCUGUCUCUCUCUGUCUUUUACACACACACACACACACACACACACACACACACGCGUAUCAGUUGCAGGAAAUCUACCAGCGUCCAGUCAAAGUAGGCAAAUAUGUGCAGAUUCCAGGCAUCAGUGCCAACCUGAGAAACUUGCCUUCAUCUCCCGUCACCUCCCCACCCCCUCACUGCCCUUCCCCAGAAAAUUCUGGGAGCCAGGUUCCUGGCAGCAGCCUCCAAGGGGGACGUAAGGACAGGCCUAUUGAACUGCGUUGCUCUGGACUAGAUAAAUAGUUAUCACCAGCCAACGUGGUUAAAUAAUCAUCAAACCACGUAAUUCAGAAAUCAUGCUCCUCGAGAGUUCCCCAUUUAAUACCCGACAGAACACGCUAAUCCGCCGCACAAGACUGCGUUUUACUUUUCUAGACAGGAAGCAUUUUCUUCAGUCCCAUAAUGACUUCCCUUGACAUAAUAAUGAAGGAAUGUGAAUUUAAAACAGGCUGAGAGGCUGGGCCUUCUUUGUUAUUAGGGUUGGGGGCUGGUGGCUCGGAAAUUGCCUGAGUAACUGCUGACUUGCUGAACUGUGUCGUCAUUGAAUUCACUGCUUACAAAGACUGAAAUUUACCAAAUUAAAUUUUAGUGAGUAAUUUCUUUUCACAUAAACGGCAGAAAUUAAACCAUUGUGGAUGUGGUAGAUAGGCCGUCACACGGAGCUGACAUUACAUUGGGGAGUGCUGUGAAGUCAGGCAG
rnacentral:lncRNA from 1 species